rnacentral:rRNA from 1 species
GACGUAGGGCGCGAGCGUUGUCCGGAUUUAUUGGGCGUAAAGAGCUCGUAGGCGGUUUGUCGCGUCGUCUGUGAAAACCCACGGCUCAACUGUGGGCUUGCAGUCGAUACGGGCAGGCUAGAGUUCGGUAGGGGAGACUGGAAUUCCUGGUGUAGCGGUGAAAUGCGCAGAUAUCAGGAGGAACACCGGUGGCGAAGGCGGGUCUCUGGGCCGAUACUGACGCUGAGGCGCGAAAGCGUGGGGAGCGAACAGG